GAUUGUUGUUGUUGGAUAAUAAAAGUCAAAAAGGAAUUUGUGAAAUGUUGUGAUUAUUAAAUUUGAAUCACGGUUUUGAGUUUUGAUUAUAGGUUAUGGUUUUUAUUUUAUUUUAUAAAAAAGGUUAUAUUGGAUGAUAUUGCUGUAAAAGGAUUUAAGGCAUUAGUGUUAAAGGUUUGUGAUAUUAGUAAAAAAAAGAGAUUUGUAAUAUUAGUAAAAAAUAAAGUUAAUUUAGAAUACUUGUUUAGAAAUUUGUUUCAUGAUAUUAGUUAGAAUUUUUUUUUAAUUGCUUUAAAAAAAGUUGAUUUGAAAAAUUGAUUGCUUUUAGAAAUUGCUUUUAAAAAAUUGAUUGUUUUACAAAUUACUUUAAAAAAAUUGAUUUAAAAUUGAUUUUUU
rnacentral:lncRNA from 1 species